AUUGAACGCUGGCGGCAGGCCUAACACAUGCAAGUCGAGCGAGCGGCGGACGGGUGAGUAAUGUAUGGGGACUGCCCGAUAGAGGGGGAUAACUACUGGAAACGGUAGCUAAUACAGCAUACUAUCGGAUAACCCAUAUGGGAUUAGCUAGUAGGUGAGGUAAUGGCUCACCUAGGCGACGAUACAUAGCUGGUCUGAGAGGAUGAUCAGCCCCACGGGGACGGAGAGACGGCCCAGACUCCUACGGAGGAAGCAGGGUGGAAUAUUGCACAAUGGGCGCAAGCCUGAUGCAGCCAUGCCUCGUGGAUGAAGAAGGCCCUAGGGUUGUAAAGUACUUUCAGUCGGGAGGCGUUACCGACAGAAGAAGCACCGGCUAACUCCGUGCCAGCAGCCGCGUAAUA
rnacentral:rRNA from 1 species